UACCCCAAUUUUUCGGGUAUUUUCUAAUAAAUUAUUUUAGUAAUUUUAGAUAAUUUUACAAAUAAAGUAAUGGUUUUAAUGAGUUUAAAAAAAAACUAAAAGUAUAUUUUCAGAUUUAUUUUAUAAAUUUUCUAAAAUUAAGUCUCCUAGUUAAACCCUAAUACCAUAAAUUAUAUAUACCCUCAAAUCAAAAAAAAAAAAAAACCCUGCUACAAUAUACCUUACCCUCACGCAUCUCUGCCGCCGACUACCAUAUUAUCAUCUUCAUCAAAACCAUUCUUCUCUGCAGACUGAGGCUACUUAGGAAACACGCAAGGAGACUACUAGUUCGAAGCUAGUACGCGCGUGUUCAAGGUUGGUAAAGGUACUUGGCUACGAGUGAGGAGACGCUUAGAAUAACCACCUAGUCAAGAGACAAUUUCUAGUUCAGUUUAAGUUGAACUUUGUUAUCUAUUUUAUGAGAAUUGGUUGUAUUAUUUUUAUGGGCCACCUUUUAGACCACUUAGUUAAUUUUGACUUUAAUGGUUUUAAAUUAUUUUGUUGCUUUGCAUUUAUUUUCUAAGGAGAAUAAAUGUAGCAGUGACACUCCCAAGGUUUGGACGGUUAUUUUAUGAAAUAAAAAUAGGG